rnacentral:rRNA from 1 species
AGCGAACGCUGGCGGCAGGCCUAACACAUGCAAGUCGAACGAAGUCUUCGGACUUAGUGGCGGACGGGUGAGUAACACGUGGGAACGUACCUUUUGGUCCGGAACAACUCAGGGAAACUUGAGCUAAUACCGGAUGAGCCCUUAGGGGGAAAGAUUUAUCGCCGAAAGAGCGGCCCGCGUUAGAUUAGCUAGUUGGUGAGGUAAAGGCUCACCAAGGCUACGAUCUAUAGCUGGUCUGAGAGGAUGAUCAGCCACACUGGGACUGAGACACGGCCCAGACUCCUACGGGAGGCAGCAGUGGGGAAUCUUGCGCAAUGGGCGAAAGCCUGACGCAGCCAUGCCGCGUGAAUGAUGAAGGUCUUAGGAUUGCAAAAUUCUUUUACCAGGGACGAUAAUGACGGUACCUGGAGAAAAAGCCCCGGCUAACUUCGUGCCAGCAGCCGCCGUAAGAC